UGAAAUCAAGAGUUGGACGCUUAACCUACUGAGCCACCCAGGUGCCCCUUAACUCACAAAUAUUUUUGAGAGUUACAAAGUUCUAGAACCUAUAAAAUUCAAGACCUUACACUUUCUUUAAAGAUUAUAUUUUUAGGUAAUCUCCAGACCCAACAUGGGGUUCAGACUCACAACCCCAAGGUUGUGAGUCACAUGCUCUACCAACUGAACCAGCCAGGGUCCCCAACGACCUUAUACUUUUAUUGAUACAUAUUUAAAUAAUUUCAGCUGAGAGCCAUAUCUGUUAAGGUAAAUUAUGAGAACAUUUUUCAACAAAGCAACUUUUUAAAGCUAUAUAUUUGUUGAUUUCUGCUUCAUUGAACUUAAUGACAGAAAAUAUUCCCCAAAUCUUCACUUUUUGUGUAUGAUCUUAUUUACUCUUUGCAUCAGACCUAUGAGAUAGUUAGAAUCUUCCUGCCCUAUAAAUAGGGAAACCAAGAUUUUGAAGGUAAAGUAAUUUGUCCUAGUGCACAUGACCAGUAAACAUCAGCGCUUAGUUAUAAAUGGAGGUUGUCAGACUCCACUGGGAGGUCUCCAAAGUGCGGGAUCCCAGUUGCUAUAAAGAGGAGGUCAGUAAAUGCUUACUGUUGGAGACUCCAGCACAAGCUAGAAUAAAGAAGCAAUUUAGAUGUACCUACAACCACACUCAGACUAGAAAAAUCUAAUACAUCUUAAUGCAACAGGCACCUAAAUAAAAUGAAAUAUAUCUGACUUAAAAAAAAAUUUCAAGCUGAUAACUUGUUUGUCCCAUAAUUAUUUUGGUAAAUCUUUACUCCAGACUCUAAUUCUUACAUUAUCUGAAGAAACCAAUUCUGUGGAAUCAAAGUAAUACAUGUACAGUAACAUAUUAUUCAAGAAACAGAAAGGCGCCAUUCCAGUCAUAUAAAGGAUAAUAAAAACAUCAAGAGUCACGUCAAUCAAGGGGGUCUGUUGACUGGCAAACUCAAUCUAUGGAUGGACCCAAUUAUCUGCAGGAGAAUUGAUGUCAGCAUCAUUUAGGGUUAACAAUGGACCAACGAGGCAGGAGCAGACAGCUACUCUCUGUAGAGACCCAGAAAGCAAACUUGGUAAUGAGGCUCUUCAUUCAUCAUAUCAUUCUGCUCUAAUUAUUAAAGUGAAUAGGAAAUACUUUAAGUUAAGGCGGGAACUGGAUAACAUAAAAACAUUUGUUUUGUAAACACAAAGAAUGCUUUUUUUUUUUUCUAAUGAUCCUCUUCAAAUCUACAUCAGACAUAUGUUCCCAGUACACUGUUUUCUAAAGUUGCUCCUCUAACACCUCAAAUUCAUGCUGAUUACGAAUGGGUUAUUUUUGUUAUCUCAAAAAGGGAGGGUAAGACUGCUAAGAGUCUACAAUUUUAAUUUCUACUCUUCAACCUAAAAAAGAUAGGGAGAGGGUCACAAGUACAUAUGUCACCAUAGUACAUGGUCCACUGCCAUCAAUUACAUCAAAAUAGCCCAAAUAUAUCUACCUGCCAUUUCUAAAAGUCCUGAACACUCUAAUUUUACUUACUCUGGUUCAUUUUUUCUUAAUCAAUCAUUUGAUCCUUAUCAAGUGAUUGUGAAAGAACAUGGUAGAAAAAAAUCCAGGAAUGUUUUGUUUGUACAACCUUUAUGUAAGUAAAGGCAUAUACUGCCAGCCAUUUAAAAUUGCCUGGGAUGGAAAUGAUUUGCUUAAUGAGGAUAAAAAGUAAAGUCUAAAAGGAGAAAAGAGAAAGGAGGUGAAGAAAGUAACUGUUGCCAGAACAAAAAUUAACUGAAGUUUGAGAAAAGCAGUCAUGAGACCAAAGGAAGGUUCCCUGGAGAAAAGUGUGGUCUCUUCAGUUCGGUUUUUCAGUGUUUUCAACCGACAAUCUGUAGCUAAAUUUUUUUUCUAUGAAGUUUGUUCACAGAGCCAUUUUGUAUAAAUGUUCCACAUAAUUUUUUUCUGAGCUAUGGUUCUUUACUUUAAAGUAAAUGGAAGAUGGUUAAGCACGGUAAGGUUUUUAACCAUCCCUGCCUGUUCUACUGAAGUUAAUGUUCAGAAGUAUCCGCAGAUACUACUUUUAGCAACUAAAUAUUUCCAUGGUGGUAAAGAAAUGUCAGUAAAAUCUAUGUACUUUAAGAACAUCAAAUUCUUAUUAUACUUAUCAUGUGUGCAGGCAGAGUACAUAAUAAACUAGUCUAUAGCAGCUGUAAAUUUCUGAGGAUUUAUCUAACCACAAAUACAUUGAAAUGGGGAAAUAGGGCUAUAUUAAACCAUGCAAGAUGCUGCUGGAGUUUUGCCAUUUCUGCAACAUCCUGUAAUUAAUUUAUCAUGACAGGUCUGGCAAACUGAAACAUCCAAUACACUUGCAACAGACUGUUGUACCAUAGUUGCUGGAGAUCCUGCAGCCACAUAAAGUCAAGGAGGUUUGACGGUCACUUGCCUCCUGGUAGUCUCUUGGACACAUGCUCUUCCUGAAGAGAAGACUCACAAGACCACCUCAUCCAUCUGGGUGCCCUCCUCUUCUAGAAGUCACAGUCCCGCCAUUUUGCAAACUUCGAGCACAGAUAAAUUCAGUAUUUAUCCCUGCUCCAACAUCCUCCAAUCUAAAGAAAGAAAAUAAUGUAAUAAUGGGGUGGGGAUUUUUGUCAAAAUAGAUUUUCUUACUAAACAGUGAGAUCCUGGGUCCCUGGCUGGGUCAGACUCGGCAGAGCAUGUGACUCUUGAUCUCAGGGUUGUGAGUUUGAGCCCCACGUUGGGGGUAUAGUUUACCUUAAAAAAUAAUAAUAGACUCUGAAAAAAACACAAUGAGUUCUUUGUCAGUUUGUAUCAGUGUGAAAGAAUGAUCCCCUCUUUACUUGGUGUGUCAUCUGAUACAGGUGUUACCGUGGUUGAUGCUAAGGAUAGAUCUUAGUAAACAAGGCUUCUUGCUAGAGAAGUAGAGAGGUACCACCACUCAUUAAAAUAUGAAAUCUACCUUGUACCAAUGUCCACAGCCUUGCCCAUAUCCUUUGGAAGGUCAGUAUUCCUCAGACCACAAACAAGAGGACCCAAUGGGGUCUUCCUUGAAUCUGGAAGUCUCAGUGAAAGGGGAUAGUUCUCAGGUGGUAGACGGUAAGACGGGUGUUGCUCAAUAGAAACAGGUAAGAAGCCAAGCAAACACAGUGGUUCUAGUUCCAGCCCAGUCACCAAAGGCUAACUGUAAACACUUUAUGCUAUUUGUAUUUUCUCUAGUGGUUGUCUAUUUCUUGCUCCUUACUAUAUUGAAAAUGGAUCGUAUCUCAGAGGACCUGACAAGCUUGUGCUUGGGCCUAAGUUUAAAAACAAACAAACAAA